rnacentral:lncRNA from 1 species
CUCUCCCCUUGGUUGCCAUCUAUAAAAAGAGGGGAGCUCUUAGGCAUGAAGAAGAGAUUGGAGUGCUUUCUUUGGGCGUGUGAGAGGUUGGUGGCUUCUAUUUUGGGCAUGUGCUAAGCUCUACUGGAGAGAAAAUAAGAUUGGGGCAUGGGCUUUUUCCGCUUUGGGUGUGAGGCUUUGUGAGAGAGAGAGUUCAGAGAAAGAGAGAAAAAGAAGGGAGAGAAAGAGUUCUCUCACUACAUCUCUUGUUCCUCCAAUCCUACGUGAAAGGAGUUUGUACGUUGAUCCUU